rnacentral:lncRNA from 1 species
CUUGGAGGACCUCAGGACUUUCUGCCCAGGCUUGUUCACUAGGUCACACACCUUUUCUUUGUUAAAAUGCUCAAGCCACCAUGCUCCUGUGCCUUUGACCUGAGACUCUACCAGGCAUGUGACCAUCCCACCAGAGUUGCCUCUGAAACAGAGAGGUAGCAAGGAAGGAGGGGGCACUUAGAUUUGAGGCACUUGCCUACACUGAGAUCCGGGCAUGUCCCCAUGCUGCUGACAUGGGCCUAGUGGCGCUGUUGGGGUGGAAGGGACAAUGGAAAGAGGACUUACUAAGACAUAGAUGGUCCCAGCCGGUAUCUGCUGUGAUAGCGUGGAAGGAGCCCCAGGCAUGAGGGACAGCCUAACUAGGCCUUGGCACGAGGUGCUGUGUCCUCCUAUGGAAGCACUCUGUUCCUCUGGAAGGCAGAGUUGACACUGGUUCUCGCAUAAUGCAGUCCUGAAGAGCUGCUGCCGUUUCUAAAUGCCACUGUUCCCAAGGGGAUCUGAACAUAAGCUCUUCCCAUCUCUCAUCGGAUCCCAGUGGGUUCCUUCCCAUGGCAACGGCUUUUGAAAACUACAGAACAUUUGUAAAAGAAGAAAAUCAUUUGUGAUCUACAAAUUUUGGUCCCUUUCAAACCACCUGUAGCACUCUGAGUUCAUGGAUUGAUAGCUACCUGUGUAAACUGCCUUGGACACACGCUGCCUCCCCUGGCAGGCUCGACCAUGUGCUCGGGCCACUGGAAUUGAGUUGACUGACCGGACAUCUAUCACCUGGGAGCAGGAACGUUGGUGCUUGCAGACUUUGGCUUGGCCUCCUUACUUCUGCCAUAAAGGUCAAAGUCCAAGAUUGCCGCUCCUUCGAUCCAGCAUCUUGAAGAGGACGAAUCAAGAAGGCCUGGCAUAGCUCCCAGGCCUGAGCAUAUUCCUCAGCCAACUUGCAGCUCCAGGGAGGAAUCUGUAGUUAUGUCUGUUUAUAUUACUGUCUGUGUGAGUAUACACGUGUAUGUGCACUACCGCAUUCUUGUGAAAGCCCAAGAACUUUCAGACAUAUACUCGCUCCUUCCUCCGUGAGACCCAAGGAUCCAACAGCUCACCAACUUUGUGCAUUGCUUUUUUCUGCCAAGCCAUCUUACUGGGCUUUAAAAAAUGUAUUUGGACUUUAGGA